rnacentral:misc_RNA from 1 species
GUGAAGGUUUUGGAUAUGACUGGUCUGAAGCUGUCAGCUCUUAGCCAAAUAAAGGUAUAACUUACCAUUCUACAAGUUUUUGGUUUUCUCCACCGAUCUUUCCUUGAAUUAUCUUCAUUUUUCUCUUUAAAUGUUUUGCCAAUAUCUGUGUAUCAAGAUAUCAAUGGCAUUAAUUAACCAUAUUUUGCUGAAGCUGCAGAAAAUUUUACUGGGUCAACCUUAUUGUAUCUUACUUCAAACUUCUGACCAGCAUAUAAUAAUUGUGAAUCUUCACUGCUAUAAUGGAUAGUUGCGUUUUAAAAGCUCAUGUGCUGCCACAGUGGUUGCAUUGUCACGUUUAUCGAGUCCUCUUUUUUGUGUCGCUGCAGUUGCUGACAAUCAUAACGAGUAUUGAUGACUUGAACUAUCCAGAGAGAACAAAAACAUAUUAUAUUGUAAAUGCUCCAUACAUAUUUUCAGCGUGUUGGAAGGUAAGCUCUCUCAUGUUUGUGUAUCAAGUACAAUGAAUUCAGCACUAUAUUUAUAGUGACCUUGGCAUUGAGUUACAGACACCAGAUAAAACUUAGAAUCUUUGGCAGGUUGUCAAGCCUCUACUGCAAGAGAGGACUAGAAAAAAACUUCAGGUUUUACCAGGUAAUGGGCGAGAUGAGCUGUUGAAGGUAAGACAUUUUCUCCCUGAUUCUUGAAGUAUUGGAAACCUGAUCAUUACAUGUUCUGUUUUACUAUGUUUCAUUAGUGAUCUCUAGAAACCUCAGAAUCAUGUUUUCUUUUUCCUAACAUUAGUCAGCAAGCAUAGCUUUUUAAGGACUGUUCUUGUUGGGCAUUUUCAAUGUAGAUAAUGGAUUUAGCAUCUCUUCCACAUUUCUGUAAAAAGGAAGGAUCUGGAUCAUCACGACAUGCAGAGAAUGCUAUGGAGAACUGCUAUUCCUUGGAUCAUCCAUUUCAUCAACAACUCUACAACUACAUCAAGCAGCAGUCCCUGAUCAAUGGAACUGACAAACCAAUUAAACAGGGGUCUUUCCACGUGAAUCUGCCUGAGGCUGGGGAUGGGAAAGGAACAGAAAUCCUUAAAACCAUUGAAUCAGAGCUACACAAGUUUGAGAAUGGUAGUGAGCUUCCCAGAUCAGUAAGUGGCCUCAAAAUCAAUGGCGACUGAGGUUUGACAUGAUGCAUUCUCCAUGGCUUGAAAGAGGUGAAUGUUGGAUCUUGAUAACCAAAAUCACUUUGUUAUAGGUAUAAAAUAUAAAUUGCGGUGAUUCCCCAUAUCCCUACUUAAGAGGGAAAAGCUAAUGCUGUAUAUGUAAUUUGAGAUGUUGACUGGAUAAUUCGUAUAAAGCUUUCCACAGCCUGACACGAUGUAGGAAUGUAGCAGAGAAUUGUAAUUCCUAUUUUCCCCAUUUUAUGCUAAGAGAAAUCCGUUUUAGCCACUAUCAUUUGACUGUUUGCUGAAGGUCUCUCUCUCUUGUGUUAAUGAUUUUGCUCUUAUCUUAGCCUCAGUGAAACAAAAAAUUAUUCAGUUCAAUCAGUGCAUGUGUAUAUUUGCUCGC